rnacentral:rRNA from 1 species
GAUGAACGCUGGCGGCGUGCCUAAUACAUGCAAGUCGAGCGAACAGAUGAGGAGCUUGCUCCUCUGACGUUAGCGGCGGACGGGUGAGUAACACGUGGAUAACCUACCUAUAAGACUGGGAUAACUUCGGGAAACCGGAGCUAAUACCGGAUAAUAUAUUGAACCGCAUGGUUCAAUAGUGAAAGACGGUUUUGCUGUCACUUAUAGAUGGAUCCGCGCCGCAUUAGCUAGUUGGUAAGGUAACGGCUUACCAAGGCAACGAUGCGUAGCCGACCUGAGAGGGUGAUCGGCCACACUGGCACUGAGACACGGUACAGACUCCUACGGGAGGCAGCAGUAGGGAAUCUUACGCAAUGGGCGAAAGCCUGACGGAGCAAAGUCGCGUGAGUGAUGAAGGUCUUCGGAUCGUAAAACUCUGUUAUUAGGGAAGAACAAAUGUGUAAGUAACUAUGCACGUCUUGACGGUACCUAAUCAGAAAGCCACGGCUAACUACGUG